UCUAUCUCUCUCUAUAUAUGUGUAUAUGUAUCUCUCUCUAUAUAUGAGAGAGAGAUACAUAUACACAUAUAUAGAGAGAUAGA